CUUCAGUUAGAUGUCGAUAAAGAAGCACCAUGGACUGGGUAGUAUACAAACAGCAGAAGUUUCUUCCCUACAGUUCUGGAGGCUGCAAGUCUGAGGUCAGAGUAUCCCCAUGAUCAGAUUCUGAAGAGGACCUUCUUCUAGGUUGCAGACUGAACCUCAGGGGAAGGACAUGAAAAGGAAUAAGAAAGGCUAUUGGACUUGCUGAGUUCUACAGGACAGGACCAUGUAGCUAUUUGUUGCAAACACAGUAUAUUCUUCAAGGAGUUAAGACUCUUGAUGAUAUAAAAGAAGAAAAACUAGAAGAUGAUACGAAGAAUUUACUCAAAGCUUUAAUUGUUGUGAUCGUGAUCAUAUCGGUGUUACCUCCGAUGUGUUUCUGCCUUACCCAUCACAACUGCAUGAUUGAACCCGUCGAAAACAUCGAAAAUGCCAGAUAACUUUCUGAUUCAAAUGAAAUGAUGUCUUUUGCGAGAUUCUUUCAUAAGGCUCCCCCAAAUAAUUAAGCGCUAAAAAACAAGAAAAUCUAACUAUAAAGGAACAAAUUCAUACCAACUGUUUUAUGCUUGCCA